rnacentral:rRNA from 1 species
AUUGAACGCUGGCGGCAGGCCUAACACAUGCAAGUCGAGCGGAUGAGAGGAGCUUGCUUCUCGAUUCAGCGGCGGACGGGUGCGUAAUGCCUAGGAAUCUGCCUGGUAGUGGGGGACAACGUUUCGAAAGGAACGCUAAUACCGCAUACGUCCUACGGGAGAAAGCAGGGGACCUUCGGGCCUUGCGCUAUCAGAUGAGCCUAGGUCGGAAUAGCUAGUUGGAGAGGUAAUGGCUCACCAAGGAGACGAUCCGUAACUGGUCUGAGGGGAUGAUCAGUCACACUGGAACUGAGACACGGUCCAGACUCCUACGGGAGGCAGCAGUGGGGAAUAUUGGACAAUGGGCGAAAGCCUGAUCCAGCCAUGCCGCGUGUGUGAAGAAGGUCUUCGGAUUGUAAAGCACUUUAAGUUGGGAGGAAGGGUUGUAGAUUAAUACUCUGCAAUUUUGACGUUACCGACAGAAUAAGCACCGGCUAACUCCGUGCCAGCCGCCGCGGUAACAC